rnacentral:lncRNA from 1 species
UUUAAUUUAUUUUCAAUUUCAAUUUAGUCUCCUUUGAACGGCGCCGUUUUAGAGGAGAAGGGAAAAUUUCCCUUCCAGCCUCUAUAUGUAAUUCGCGCGUUUAAAUUAGUCCUUUGGGCUUUAUUUAUUUACGGAUUUACCCCAGAUUUUUUAUUUGCAGUUCAAUUUAGUCUUUUUUAUAUUUAUCUUAAAAUUAAUUAAUUUUAAUAACGUAAUUAUUUUUAUUUUUUAUUAUAAUUUUCAUAUGUAAUUAUUUUUUUAAAUCUAUAUAUAUACAUGUAUAUUUAUUUUUUAUGUACAUACUUAUUUUUUUCCAACUAAUAUUUUUCUCAUAUUUAUACAUAUACACAUUUUUUUUUAUAUUUUGAUAAUAUAGAUGUAAUAGGCCAUUUUAGCCCGGGCCCAAAUAAAUAAGUAUCAAAAAAAUAAAACAACGACCCAAUUACAUUUGGCCCAAUAAGGCCCAAGUCACUAAACCAAACCCUACAUCCCAACCUAGCCCUAAGCAGCGGUUAACAGUAGUCGCCCCACGUUCGGCAGUCUCCCAAACCGUCCCACGUCUUCACUGGCACGUCCACUCGCACCACGCCCACAUAUCUGCAAACCGCAAAUAACAGGAAGAGGAUGAUACACGCAGCAAAAUAGAAAGGGAUUUGGGGUUAUAAAAAGGGAAAUAGAAUCUGUAAAAGGGGUUAGCAAAUUUUUGAGAAAAAAAUUAAAAAAGAAAAUACAAGAGAAAUAAAAGAUAAUUUUGAAGGUGACGGCUUGUUGUUCUUUUCUUCUGUUCUUUUACCAUUUUCAUUUUACUUUUGUUUUUCUUUUGCUUUCUAAAACAAAAGAGAUUAAAGAAGGGGAGUAAAGCUUACCAGCGUGGUGUUGUUGGAUCCCUUUGUUUCAUUACAAUCGAAACAGGGGAAGAGUUUUGGGGGAGGAGAUACGGCACAAUGACAAAGAAAGAAAAAUGGUUUUUAGGGUUUGAAAAAGGUUUUUUUUUAAUUGAUUUUAAAACGGCGCCGUAUUUGGUGUACUCGAAUGCCUGCGUGACCCGACCCAGAAACCCGAUCAGAUCCGCGUGUUUUAAGUAGAUGGGUUAUUUACGAUUUAGGUCCAUGUUUUUAAAAUCAUUUUUUCUUAUUUCUUUAUUAUUUUCAAAUUUUUCCAUAAAACUUUAUUAAUGUUUUAAUUUAAUCCAAUAGUGUGCAGUGUUUCUGGGCGGGUUGGAAAAUUUCUCUUUUGGUCCCUUAUCUAUUGCACCUGUUUUAGCUCACUCCUUUUCUUGUUUUUAUUUUCAAAAUUCGGCUCUCAACUUCUGCUUGACAUUUUAAUUUGGUCCUUAAAUUUUUUUUAUUAGCUUAUUUUUAUUAUGUUGUUUUUAUUGUUUAUUAUUAUAAUUAUUAUUAUAUUAUUAUUGUAUGUACAGGUGCGCAUAUAUAUGUAUGUUAAUAUAUAUAUGUAUAUUAUAAAUGUUUUAAAUAUAUAUAUAGUUCAUAUAUUUUAUUAUUAUACCAUUUUAUUUUUUAUAAUUUGUAUAUAUCGCACAUGCAUUAUUAUUUUAUGAUAUUUAUAAAUUUUUUUCAUAUUUUUAUAAUCCUAUAUAUUUUUCUUUUAAAAUAUACAUGUUCUUACAUUAUUCAAAUUAUUAUAAAUAUAUGUUCGUAUGUUUUUAUGUAUAUCUUUUCAUAUUUUCAUAAUUUAUUAAUAUAUUAUACUUUUAUUAUUUUUUUAAACGUACGAAUAUAUUUUGUAUGUAUUUUAUUAUUAUUUUAUUUUCAUGACUUUUGUAUUCAUAUAUAUGUAUGCACUAACAUUUUAUAAUAAUUAUGCAUUUUUUUUAUAUUUAUUUCAUGGUCAUAUACAUACUAGUAGAAUCCACUUAUAUAUCAUUUAUAUAUAUAUCAUAUACAUGUAUAGUUUAGGUUUAAAAUAUUCAUUUCGUAUUGCAUUGACAUUUUAGUACCUUUUUUUAAAUACAUUUUGAUUUUGUCAAAACAUUUCUUUUAUGAUUUAAAGAUUUUCAAAAUAAAAAACGAUAUUCAAAGUUAGGAAUUUUCGAGGAAAAUUGAGCCCUAACGUAUUGGGUUCUGAUUUUCUUCGUUAAUUCCGAAUAACCGAGAAUAUUCGUUAUUUAAAAUUUAUAUACAAAAAUUAUUUUCGGGAAUUCAAUAUGUUAUGCCCUAACGCAUUGGGCAUGACAUAUUAUUUUCUCGAAAUGAAGAUUUUCUUUAAAAAAUAAUUGAAAAGUGAUAUUCAAAAUUCGGGGAUUUUGAGAAAUUGUACCCUAACGUAUUGGGUCUCAAUUUCUUCGCAUGACUUGAAUAAUUGGUUAUCCUUUUCGGAUUUCAACAUUUGAGUUUAACAAAAUCUUUUUAAUUUUCGACACCAAGACAUUAGAUAAUCAAUUUGGUACCGAUUUUUGGGCGUUACGGGGGUCCUAACCCUUCCUCGUGCGUAACUAACUCCCGAACCCGUUUUCUCAAAUUUCGUAGACUAGAGUCGUUUUUAAUGUGAGCCGACCACACCUCAAUAAAGGAUCGGUGGCGACUCCAAUUUUUGUUUUUUUAAAGUCGACAACUAAAUUUUUGUUUUCAAAAAAUGGUUUCGACAGCUUGGCGACUCCACUGGGGACAUUAGAGAGUCGAGCCAUAAAUUGAUUAUUUUGUGUCUUUUUGUCGAAAAUUAAUGUUGUUUUUAAUAAUGAUUUCCCCUUUGGCAUGCUUUGGUUUUCAUUGUUAUAAGCUUGUUUGAUUGGCUUAAGUCCGUUAGUUAAUUUGAAUUUUUGCAUUUCAUAGUCAAUUUUACCCUUCUAAGUGGGAGUGAGAAGCUAGUCCUUCGUGAGGUUUCACCUCCGUGUAGGAUAGUGGAUCGCUUUCGGGAUACAUCCGUACCUAUGUCUUCGUGAGAUUUUCAUCUCCGUGUAGCCAUAGGGAAAUGUAUUCCCCUGAACCGAACUCGGUCCAUAUGAGCCUAUAAUGGGUGAGGAUCGAGGAAUCUGCUGGUUCGGGUACCUUUGCCCUAGAAACCAAACUACAUAUAGUGAACCUUAAGAACUUGCCCUAGGUAGAACUUUGCCAAACUCCUAGAGGUCACCCGAGUAGGUACUCUAUUUAUUUUCUUGUUCGUUUUUGUUUUGUACUAACUCAUUUUGUUUUGUUUUGAUUAUGAUUGCAUUGCAUUUGCAUCUUAGAAAAGAGAUGUUGGUUCAAGUUCGAUUACUAACUUAGAAAGCUUGUCAUGGAAUACGGAUUUCUUGAUAAAAUAGAAGAUAAUACAGUUGCCCGAAUAUAUCCCGAGAAACACGAGAAGGGCGAUGGAAGAGUUCAUGACUUUACUUCGUGGCCCGAGGAUUCAAGCUGAUUAUUCGAGAGUUACCGACAUUCCAACUUCCUUAAAGAAGCUGAUAAGCCUUACGAGGAUGGGCAGACGAUGGAUUGCAACCAAGAUCAAGCAAAGAAGGAGCUAGUAGUGCUGUUCAUUGGAAAUUUGUGAGAUUUAUCUUAAAACAUCCAGAUGAAGUAAGAGGUCGAUGUUUCUUGGAGUAUGAGGGCGAGGCCGUACAUGCAUCCAUUUUAUGUAAAGAAGUUUGUCUUCUACUGAAGUUUUCUAAAUGGAAUUGAAUCAGAAUCAACGUCUCUUUAUGCAUUCAUUUCAUGCAUUCGCAUUACAUGACAUCAUAUGCAUUAAAAUACAUUAAAAGUGCCUAAUUUUGUAAAAUUAUUUCAAUUAAUUUGGAAAACCAACACCCUUACGGAACUCAAGCAAAAACUAGAGAAAUGGACCAAAGGUUGGAGAAAUUAGAGCAAAUGCAAAUACAGAUGUAGGAGCAAUUGGCCAAAUUUCAACAAGAUAUAAGGGAUCAGUUGUUCGAAUUCCAAAAAAAUAUAAUGUGCCAAUUAACCCAGUUAUUGGCUGGAGGGUUAGAAAGAAAGAAGAGCCCAGCGGUCCACUUUAGGGAUAAUAAUGAAGACCCUACGAAUCCUCCAAGUUUUACCCCAACAAAUAUCCAAGCACAACCAAAUGCAUAUCCACAAAGGGUAAUUGUUAACAUUCGACCCCAAUAUCAGACCAGCAAAUCAAUUACAGUGAAUCAGCCAGGAAAGGUGGUUACUAAUCAGCAGGGUUCAUCAAGACAAGAACAGGUGUGAAGCCAGGUACUGAGAAGCUCCAGUUCAUACCAAUUCCGAUGUCCUAUAAGGAGCUGUAUCAAGGCUUGUUCGAUGAGCAUGUUGUUGCUCCUCAUUACUUAAAACCUCCACAACCUCCGUAUCCUAAGUGGUAUGAUGCGAACGCGCAAUGUGAGUACCACGCGGGAAUUACGGGCACUUAAUAGAGAAUUGUAUUGCCUUCAAGAAGCUGGUCGAAAAGCUCAUCAAUAUGGGCAUUGUCAAAUUUGAGGUUUCAUCCAGUGUAGAAAAUUCGCUACCCAAUCACAUUUGAUAAUAGGGUGAAUGUGAUGCAUGAAGAAGUGUUGAGAGGUGUUCACAUCAAUGCCAUAGAUGAAGACACAAUCGAAAAGGGACCUUGUUAGAUAUCCACCUUUGUAAACCUAGGAGUGUUUUAAGCAAUCGAACUGCAGAAGAAAUAUUUGUAGUAUUUAGGGCUUAUUUAGAGCAAUGUUCAAAACACACUUAUUGCUUUUAGCCUAGAGGCAAUAAGAAUUCCUUUGUGAAGUAGGCUCAUGUCUAAAUAUCGUUAUUUUAAUGAAAUGCAUCCUUGCGAUCAUUUUUUUGAACCAAUAUUCUUUCAGUCUGUCUGAAUAGUUAUUCUUUCAUUCUUUUGGAUUUUCUUCCAUAUCAUUCAUUCAUUCAUAAUCAUAUUGUACAGAUAGUUCUUCAUAAAUUUAUACAUUCUUUUGUAUAUUCUUUGGUAUUUAUUAUGGGCCCCCAGAUAUCAAUGACUUGAAUGACACUGCUACAGAUUUAAAAUCUCCUUUUGAGCAAGACAUGUGUUUAGAGGGAUCUCAUGACUUUGAAGAUGACAUAGAUCGUAGCCUAUCUCCAGACUUGUUGAGGAUGGUAGAGCAAGAAGAGAACAAAUUUUACCUCUUGAAGAGACAAUGGAGAUUGUGACUUUAAGAGAACAUGCAUAACCAGAUAAAUGAAACAAGACCUUAUUAAGCUACUUCAAGAGUUCAAAGAUGUCUUCGUAUAGUUAUACCAGAAUAUGCCCAAGUUAAGCACUGAUAUUGUAAUAUGAGCAAUAGCAGAACGUUAAAAAUUUGCAGUAUGUUCAAGAUUCACAUCAUGAAUGAUGCAGUUAGAUUUCUUUACCGGGGCAAUACCUUCUUCUCUAGCUUAUCCCAUUGAAGUCAAGUUGUCAUUUUUCUGUAUUUUUGCUGGAUUUCAUCCUAAUUGAAGCGGAAGAUCUAAAAUUUUCUCGUCAUAGUUACAUUUCUCCCCAAAAGGCUCUAUGAGAGAAACUUGAUGCCAAAGAAGAUCUUUCGUAUACAAAAUGAAAAUAGAAGAUCUUUUGGGGAAGACCUUAUCUGGAAUAAUAUUGAUUCUGAUUGAAAGGGAUGACCAGCACUUGCCUAAUACUAUGAGUGCAGAUUCAAUUCAAAAAAAAAGGAAGAAAGAAAGAAAGAAAAAGAAGAACAAAAAAUAAAAACAAAAAGAACCUCUACCGGGGCAAUGUCUUUCCCUUUAGCUUAUCACGAUUUUUCCAUUGAAGUUGAAAAUCUUUUUCUCCAGGUAUUGGCUGAGCUGAAGUAGGAUGAAGAUCCAAUCUCGAUACGAUUAGUUGAACUUAAUUGAAGGAAAUCGGCUAAAAGCUAUUCGUCACGAUCAGAUGUACCAAAAAUGGAUGAUGCGAACUUACAACAAAAAGGUUCGUCCCAGAGAAUUCCACGAGGGAGACUUGGUAUUGAAAAAUCCUUCCUCUACAAAAGGAUUUCAGAGAAAAAUGAGUGCCAAAUUGGGAAGGUCCUUAGGUUGUAAAGAAGACAUUUUCCGGAGGAGCACUGAUCUUGAGUGAGAUGGAUAGUAAAAAUUUGUCUAACUCAGAUUCAGUCAAGAAAUACUUCACUUAAAGAAUGAGAGGGCCUAGGUAAAAAUCCGCAAAGGGCAUUUUGGGUUGCAAAAAAAAAAGAGAUGAGAUGUGAAAAAAAUGAAAAUGAAAAUGGAAAAUGAAAAAUGGAAAAAGUAAAAGUGGAGAGGCUAAGGUGAAAACCAGCAAAGGGUGCCUUAGACCAAAGGGGAUUUGAGUUGAAAACCCAAAAAGGGCAGCUUAAAUUUUGAUCAAAAUGGGGCAUGAGGUAAUCAAAGUAGCUCAAAUUCUGAUCAGAUUGGGGCAUGUGGCGAUCUUGCUAUGCCUGAAUCAGCAGGAAAGGGUACGCGACAUUUUGGAGCAUCGACAAAGUAUUGUAGAUCUCCUAAGCACAUGUCAAACUCAGAAUGGUCUUUAGGAAGUUUGUAUAGAGAAGUUCAAGCUGCGAUAUCUGGGGCACCUAGUUUUCAUACUAUUUAUAUUGAAUUGCCUGUUCUUGGAAUACUUCAUUCUUUUUCAAGAUACGAGUCAAUUCCUCUUGUAUUCUUAAUAUUCUUGAUAAUAUGUUUAUUUCAAGCUAUGUUCUCAAAGCAAUUCUAUUUUAUCUUUUAUUUUGUUCUUUUUGCAAAAGUGUUGCAUUAGAAUAAUGAUCAAUGGACUAAUAAAACUUUCACAAGAGAAGUCUUGCAUAUUGCUCUAGAAGUUUCUAAAUAAUGCAGUAACUUGAAACAAGACUAUUUUUUAGAAUGCACUAGGUUUAAAGGUUGGAAAUUUGAUAAGGAAAGGUCUAAAUUGAGAUUAUCCCUUCAGAUUUUGUGGUCAAAAUAUUGAUUGAACAAAGUGACAAGAUGUCGUGUUGGUGACAAAGCAUCAAUGAACAAGCAAUCAAUGAUCACCUUGCAAUAAGAAGAGGUUUCCUCAGAGAAAGAAAUCCUUCAUUUGUGCAUAGGCAUUUGGUAUGACACCUUGAGAACGGUAUAAAGGACCAAAGUGCUUCACCUUACGAUAAGAGAAGAUCGAGAGGCCAGAUUUUUUUUCUACCCUUGGGUUACAGUGAAAAGAUGAUACAAAUUUCUGUGUCCCUGUGGAUUAAACUUUAAAGUUUACAAUGGGGUUUGUUUGAUUAAGUGUUGCUUCAGAGAUGCUAGCUGAGUAAGAGGACGUUGUAGUACGCCAGUGAUAAAGCCUUAAUAAACUUUGAGUAAUGACAAUCUAGGUGAUAAAAAAGAUCAUUCUCAAUAAAAUGACAUUCUACAUCCAUUCAAAUGUCAUUCAUACAUGUCUAGUUAGGAGCAUGUGAUUCAUUCUGAUCAUGAUAUCCUAAUUAUUAGUCAUAAUUAGGUUCAUAAAUAUGAAUUAUAUAGGUCAUGUUCCCCAGAGAACAAACUGAAGAAACCAAUCCUAUCUCCCUGAAGUUACAGUGGAGCGGAUUAACAUUCAAGAUCUUAUCUUUCUGAGGUUGCAGAGAGCAGAUCGCAUUAAGUCUUAUCUCCCUGAAGUUACAGUAGAGCAGACUGAAGAUCUAAUCCUAUCUCCCAGAGGUUGCAGUGGAGCGGAUUGACAUACGGAUCUUAUCUCUCUGAAGUUGCAGAGAGCAUAUCACAUCAAGUCUUAUCUCCCUGAAGUUGCAGUGGAGCAGACAGAAGAAACUAAUCCUAUCUUCCUGAAGUUGCAGUGGAGCGGAUUAACAUCCAGAUCUUAUCUUUCUGAGGUUGCAGAGAGCAGAUCACAUCAAGUCUUAUCCCCCUGAAGUUGUAGUGGAGCAGAUAGAAGAAACUAAUCCUAUCUUCCUGAAGUUGCAGUGGAGCGGAUUAACAUCCAGAUCUUAUCUUUCUGAGGUUGCAGAGAGCAGAUCGCAUUCAGUCUUAUCUCCCUGAAGUUGCAGUGGAGCAGACAGAAGAAACCAAUGCUAUCUCCCUAAAGUUGCAGUGGAGCGGAUUAACAUCCAGAUCUUAUCUUUCUGAGGUUACAGAGAGCAGAUCGUAUUCAGUUUUAUCUCUCUGAAGUUGCUGUGGAGUAGACAGAAGAAACCAAUGCUAUCUCCCUAAAGUUACAGUGAAGCGGAUUAACAUCCAGAUCUUAUCUUUCUGAGGUUACAGAGAGCAGAUCGCAUUCAGUCUUAUCUCCCUGAAGUUGCAGUGGAGCAGACAGAAGAAACCAAUCCUAUCUCCCUGAAGUUGCAGUGGAGCGGAUUAACAUCCAGAUCUUAUCUUUCUGAGGUUGUAGAGAGCAGAUCGCAUUCAGUCUUAUCUCCCUGAAGUUGCAGUGGAGCAGACAGAAGAAACUAAUCCUAUCUCCCUGAAGUUACAGUGGAGUAGACUGAAGAUCUAAUCCUAUCUCCCUGAGGUUGCGUGGAGCGGAUUGACAUACGGAUCUUAUCUCUCUGAGGUUGCAGAGAGCAGAUCGCAUCCAGUCUUAUUUCUCUGAAGUUGCAGUGGAACAGGCAGAAUAAAUCAAUCCUAUCUCCCUGAGGUUGCAGUGGAGCGAAUUAACAUCCAGAUCUUAUUUUUCUGAGGUGGCAGAGAGCAGGUCACAUCCAGUUUCAUCUCCCUGAAGUUGCAGUGGAGCAGACUAAAGAUAGCAAAUUUUGUUCUUUUAAGAAGCUACAAGGUACAAGUCCUACCUCCUUGAUGUUGCAGUGGAGUGGAUUGAGGUACCGAUUCCUAUACCCCUGAAGACGCAGUAGGUUGGGAUGAGGCUACUUGAAGAGCGCUAAGGUCCAGUAUGCCCGGGCAAAAUUGGCCAUCUUAAAGUCUUUGCUUUGUUCCCGUUACACGACAAUGAGCAAAGAGGGGCAGCUGUAAUAGGCCAUUUUAGCCCGGGCCUAAAUAAAUAAGUAUCAAAAAAAUAAAACAACGACCCAAUUACAUUUGGCCCAAUAAGGCCCAAGUCACUAAACCAAACCCUACAUCCCAACCUAGCCCUAAGCAGCGGUUAACAGUAGUCGCCCCACGUUAGGCAGUCUCCCAAACCGUCCCACGUCUUCAUUGGCACGUCCACUCGCACCACGCCCACAUAUCUGCAAACCGCAAAUAACAGGAAGAGGAUGAUACACGCAGAAAAAUAGAAAGGGAUUCGGGGUUAUAAAAAGGGAAAUAGAAUCUGUAAAAGGGGUUAGCAAAUUUUUGAGAAAAAAAUUAAAAAAGAAAAUACAAGAGAAAUAAAAGAUAAUUUUGAAGGUGACGGCUUGUUGUUCUUUUCUUCUGUUCUUUUACCAUUUUCAUUUUACUUUUGUUUUUCUUUUGCUUUCUAAAACAAAAGAGAUUAAAGAAGGGGAGUAAAGCUUACCAGCGUGGUGUUGUUGGAUCCCUUUGUUUCAUUACAAUCGAAACAGGGGAAGAGUUUUGGGGGAGGAGAUACGGCACAAUGACAAAGAAAGAAAAAUGGUUUUUAG